ensembl:lncRNA
GCCACACCCAUGGCAUAUGGAAGUUCCCAGGCCAGGGAUAGAACCCGAGCUGCAGCUGUGACCUGCCCCACAGCUGUGGCAACACUAGAUCCUAAACCCACUGCACCAGGGCUGGGAUCAAACCUGCGCCACUGCAGGGACAAUGCCAGAUCCCUAACCCACUGAGCCACAGUGGGAACUCCCAAAUAGGAGUUUACACAUGGUGGUUGUAGAGGCAAGUACUAAAAUAUGAUUUUCAAAAUGUUAAAAACAUUACCCUUACUCACAUAUAAAAUGAGCAUGUGUCACAUAUUUUAUUUGACUCACAGAGAUGUAUAUCCUCUACUGGACAAAAUUCAUUUGCACUGCUAUGAACAGGAAUUGUUUGUAUUGCAAUGGAUAAGAAUCCUUUGAAUUGCUAUCAGUUUUCUACACCUUAACUUCUACCACUGAAGCUGUACAACAGUCAAGUCAGUAGACACAUCAAACAACCCUGCACACCCUGGGGAAUCAACAAUCCCCAGAGGAUCCUCUAGAUAAUACCCACUACUAAGCCUAUUUCUUGAACAAGUUUUCCAGACGAAGGAAAGAGGAAUUCCACAUUUGGGGGAAAAUCUGUUAAAAACAAAGAGACAGAGAAAAGUGAAGUACUUGGCUAUGACUGAAGAUGAGGCGAUGCGGAGAGAGAGGCAUCAGCGCAGUCAUGGAAAGAGGCUGAGAUUGUGCUGGAAUCCGGGGCUUGGCAUCCAUGGCUGUGCUCAAGAGUUUGGACUUUGCCCCAGAGCAGCGGGAAGCCGCUGAAGGAUUCUGAACUUUAAAGGGUCAAAAGCUAAAAGAUGUUUUCUGUUUUCUCACUCCUGAUUCUGAAUUUGUUCAAACCUGCAAUUUCUACCUAAAUGUUUGUUUUGGAGUAUUUAUUAAUCCAGUAUUGAAUUUCUUCCUGUUUUAUAACUUUCAAAAAUGUCUCUAUUUCUGGAGUUCUUUGGUGGCUCUGUGGGUUAAGGAUCUGGCAUAGCUGCUGCUGUGACGUCUGACUGACCCCCGGCCCAGGAAUCACGCCACAGGCACGGCCAAAAAAAAGUCUCUAUUUCUAUCCAUAUUUCCAUCCAUAAAUGCAACCCUAGGGAAAAGGCCAGGUGGUCUCUGGAACUCAAGCAAUUAUCACUGGAUUGUUUUAAGACUAUUCCCUUGAGAAAGCUUAUGUUUCCAUUAUGUAAGAAUAUAAAAAUCAUUUUCAGUAACUAAAUGAUAGUUACUCAUAUAGUAAAAUUAAAACAAUUAAAAAUCAAAGAAAAUGUAAUUCUGAAAUACAAUGAUAGAGCAGGAGAAUAGAUACAUCACUUUAUUGUUUAUUUCAAGUUUCAAUAAAAAUUAAAACAAAAUCCAAACUGACAUUGUCAUUUUCGUUUUAAGACAAGUAGGAGUCUCCACUGAUACCCAUUAAUAUUUUUUUUCUUUUUUUUAGGGCCAUACCUGCAGCAUAUGGCAUAGGCUAAAGGUGGAAUCGGAGCCACAGCCACAGCAACUGGAAUCAAAACUGCAUCUGCGACCCAAACUGCAGCUUGUGGCAAUGUCAGAUCCUUAACCCACUGAACGAGGUCAGAGACUGAACCUGCAUCUUCAUGGAUACUAGUCAGGUUUUUCACCCACUGAGCUACACUGGGAACUCCGAUACUCAUUAUUUUUAAAAACUCAAGGAAAUGAAGUCAAUUUUCAUGCCUAAUAUCAUCACAACGUAAAAUACAUUUGCCCCUUUAACAACAUGGGGUAGGGUCGCCCACCCCCAGGGUAGUGGAAAAUCCACAUAUCACUUCACAGUCAGCCCUCCAUAUCCACAGUUCUGCAUCUGUGGAUUCAGAUCUUACAUUAUCGCACUGGAGAAAGUCCACAUGGAAGUGAACCCACGCAGUUCAAACCCAUUUUGUUCAAAAGUCAACUUUGAGAACUCCAAAGAACUUCUGCUUACAAUCAUUAGAUCUAUCAGAUUCACCAUUUUAGGAACUUAAGCUAAUAAACAUUUUAAAUGUCUAUUCAAAUAACUAUAAUGAACCCAUUAAAUAUUAAUAUAAAUAAUGCAUUCUCAUAAGAUAACUAUAUUUUCCCCCCAAAUGCAUGAAGAGAAUGGCCAUGUUUUAUAUUUUUGCAAAGCUAUUUAAUAGCUGGCUUAAUAGGCAAUAGCUAGAGUCUCAUAUUUGUUUUUGCAUUCAAUCUGUUAUGGUAUCACAUAUCAUGUAGCCUCUGGAAAACUUUACUGUAAAUUACUGAAAGACUGAGUGCGGGAAAAGGCAAUGGUAUUUUGACAGUGUUAUGAAAUAAUUUUUAGCCCUGCAGAUUUCCUGCAAGGAUCUCGGGAAUUCCCAGGGAUCCACAGAUCAUUCUUUGAGAACUACCGAAUUAACGUAUCCACUCAGAACUCCUUUCUAGUCUUGCCGUAAGCAAACUAGUCAUAUCAGCUUUAGAAUCUCAAAGAUACUGUUACAAUUCAUCUUAUCACUGUAAAUAUGAUGCUGUGUGCUCAGAAUCUUUAUAGAAGAUAAAAUAUUCACUACGAUAGAUUGGAAUGUUCUCCUCAGACAUUUCAAGAUAAAAAAAUAAAUGUUCUUGAGGGAGAACCAAGGAGAAGUAGUGGCAUGUAUUUGCUGUUUACUCUUGGAAAAUUUCAGCAAUUAAAAAAAAAACAUUUAACAUUUUCUCCAACGGACUUCACCCACUGAAUGAAAAUCUUGCCAUGAAGCCAUGAGCUGCAGUGAUAACUAUUCACUAUGUGUGCCCACGGGUAUAUGGAGGUUUUAUGGGGGGAAAUUUUUACUCUGAAUUCUAGAUAUUUCUAAAUUGCUAAGUAAACUUAUAGAGUCUAUAAUUCAAGCAUGGAUCGAAUAAUCUUCUGAAUCUGUGCAGUCAUUCCACUUGUAAACCAUGUACCAUAAGGAGGGCCAGAAGAGAAAAUGAAGCAUAACUAGUGUCAUUUACCAGAGCAAAAAAAAAAAAAAAAAAGCUUCAGCUGACUUACAAUGGUAUAAAUCAAGUCAAAUUUCCAGAAAAAAGCCCAACAGGUCCAUUAAUUGGAAAAUAAAUAAAUCCUUACAUUGUCUACCUUGUGAUGGAGGGAGUCCCUGGGUUCACACUGCACAAAGUUUCAGACUGUGUGUUUAAUAGGCUAAGUGCAGAGCUUCGAGACUUUUCAAUGUGCGACAGAAUUGCCCAGGGUGAUGGAACCCCAGUUCCAUUCAACUGGCCUAAUGUUUUUUACAAGGAACUCUUACAUGUGCGUAUGUGUGUGGACCUAGGGAGUUGUAAGAGUGUUGGAAGAUGUUCCACUGAUUAUAAUAUAAGGAAUUUUCAAAGAAGUACAGAGGGCUUUGGAGAUUCAUAGAGAGAAGGGAGCACACUAGGUUGGGAUAAGGAGAGUCAGAAGCGAGAGACACAGAGAUGCACAAGCAAAUACGAUUUUGAAAGGCAGAGACGGAAAGCAAGGUUAACCCAGGAAAAGGAAAUGGCUUUAAAAGAGUAUAAAGACAGGAACGCGAAACACAAGCCAGGUUCAGGAAACGGUGCAGAGUCUAGUUUGGCUGGAGCACAGCGUGUUGGGCAAAUAGGGAACAUUAAAUAGGACAUUAAAUAGGAAUAAUGAACAAAGCAGCAUUGCUAUAAAGAUCCUUGAAUUCCUGGGUGAAAAUCUGUACUUCCUUCUGAGGCAAGAGGGAAUAAUUAAAGAUUUCUGAGUAGUAAUCUGAGAGUCUUGCAUCAGGCAAAUUAGAGAAGAGAGGUAGGAUGCCAGGAAGCAGCUAUUAUCCUAGUCGCGGUGAGAAGCAAUGGACAACCGAGUCCUGAACUGGAGCUCUAACCCCGGACUACAGACGCAAGGGUCAUUUUCCAGGUAGACUCUCUGAAAUGCACCAGUAGGUGAAUAUGAUGAUGAAUAGAGAUACCUCGCAAAAAUGACCCAGAUGAUGCUCAGCAUAGCCCAUUACGGAAAUGGGACAUCAUUAAUAUUAAUAGGAAAGUAUAAAAGAAGAAAUAAAUUGAUUCGAAAGAAAAAUAGUUGUGGAACAAGGUGAAUUUCAGAUUGGAGGUCAAGUAGGCAUUAGAAUAGGGUUUAAGUCUCAUCUAUUUGUGAUCUUUAGCCACCUCUUUAUUUUAUUCUAUUUUUUGGCUGAGCCUGCAGCAUGUGGCAGUUCCUAGGCCAAGGAUCAAACCCACACCACAGCAGAGACCCGAGCCACCUCAGUGACGAUGCCAGGUCCUUAACCUGCUGCACCGCAAGAGAACUCCUAGAU